rnacentral:rRNA from 1 species
AUGAACGCUAGCUACAGGCUUAACACAUGCAAGUCGAGGGGCAGCAUGAACUUAGCUUGCUGAGUUUGAUGGCGACCGGCGCACGGGUGAGUAACACGUAUCCAACCUGCCGAUGACUCGGGGAUAGCCUUUCGAAAGAAAGAUUAAUACCCGAUGGCAUAGUUCUUCCGCAUGGUAGAACUAUUAAAGAAUUUCGGUCAUCGAUGGGGAUGCGUUCCAUUAGGUUGUUGGCGGGGUAACGGCCCACCAAGCCUUCGAUGGAUAGGGGUUCUGAGAGGAAGGUCCCCCACAUUGGAACUGAGACACGGUCCAAACUCCUACGGGAGGCAGCAGUGAGGAAUAUUGGUCAAUGGACGAGAGUCUGAACCAGCCAAGUAGCGUGAAGGAUGACUGCCCUAUGGGUUGUAAACUUCUUUUAUACGGGAAUAAAGUGAGGCACGUGUGCCUUUUUGUAUGUACCGUAUGAAUAAGGAUCGGCUAACUCCGUGCCAGCAGCCGCGGUAAUACGGAGGAUCCGAGCGUUAUCCGGAUUUAUUGGGUUUAAAGGGAGCGUAGGCGGACGCUUAAGUCAGUUGUGAAAGUUUGCGGCUCAACCGUAAAAUUGCAGUUGAUACUGGGUGUCUUGAGUACAGUAGAGGCAGGCGGAAUUCGUGGUGUAGCGGUGAAAUGCUUAGAUAUCACGAAGAACUCCGAUUGCGAAGGCAGCCUGCUGGACUGUAACUGACGCUGAUGCUCGAAAGUGUGGGUAUCAAACAGGAUUAGAUACCCUGGUAGUCCACACAGUAAACGAUGAAUACUCGCUGUUUGCGAUAUACAGUAAGCGGCCAAGCGAAAGCGUUAAGUAUUCCACCUGGGGAGUACGCCGGCAACGGUGAAACUCAAAGGAAUUGACGGGGGCCCGCACAAGCAGUGGAGUAUGUGGUUUAAUUCGAAGCAACGCGAAGAACCUUACCAGGUCUUGACAUCCGAUGCAUAGUGCAGAGAUGCAUGAAGUCCUUCGGGACAUCGAGACAGGUGGUGCAUGGUUGUCGUCAGCUCGUGCCGUGAGGUGUCGGCUUAAGUGCCAUAACGAGCGCAACCCUUAUCGAUAGUUACCAUCAGGUUAUGCUGGGGACUCUGUCGAGACUGCCGUCGUAAGAUGUGAGGAAGGUGGGGAUGACGUCAAAUCAGCACGGCCCUUACGUCCGGGGCUACACACGUGUUACAAUGGGGGGUACAGAAGGCAGCUACACGGCGACGUGAUGCUAAUCCCUAAAGCCUCUCUCAGUUCGGAUUGGAGUCUGCAACCCGACUCCAUGAAGCUGGAUUCGCUAGUAAUCGCGCAUCAGCCACGGCGCGGUGAAUACGUUCCCGGGCCUUGUACACACCGCCCGUCACACCAUGGGAGUGGGUUGCAAAAGAAGUAGGUAGCUUAACCUUCGGGAGGGCGCUUACCACUUUGUGAUUCAUGACUGGGGUG